UAGGGAAUCUUCCGCAAUGGACGAAAGUCUGACGGAGCAACGCCGCGUGAGUGAAGAUGGAUUUCGGUUCGUAAAACUCUGUUGUUAGGGAAGAAAAAAUGUAUAGUAACUAUAUACAAAAGAGACGGUACCUAACCAGAAAGCCACGGCUAACUACGUGCCAGCAGCCGCGGUAAUACGUAGGUGGCAAGCGUUGUCCGGAAUUAUUGGGCGUAAAGCGCGCGCAGGUGGUUUAGAAAGUCUGAUGUGAAAGCCCACGGCUCAACCGUGGAGGGUCAUUGGAAACUAAUAAACUUGAGUGCAGGAGAGAAAAGUGGAAUUCCUAGUGUAGCGGUGAAAUGCGUAGAGAUUAGGAGGAACACCGGUGGCGAAAGCGGCUUUUUGGCCUGCAACUGACACUGAGGCGCGAAAGCGUGGGGAGCAAACAGG
rnacentral:rRNA from 1 species